rnacentral:rRNA from 1 species
GGGGAAUUUUGGACAAUGGGGGAAACCCUGAUCCAGCCAUCCCGCGUGUGCGAUGAAGGCCUUCGGGUUGUAAAGCACUUUUGGCAGGAAAGAAACGUCGCGGGCUAAUACCCCGCGGAACUGACGGUACCUGCAGAAUAAGCACCGGCUAACUACGUGCCAGCAGCCGCGGUAAUACGAAGGGUGCAAGCGUUACUCGGAAUUACUGGGCGUAAAGCGUGCGUAGGUGGUGGUUUAAGUCCGUUGUGAAAGCCCUGGGCUCAACCUGGGAACUGCAGUGGAUACUGGAUCACUAGAGUGUGGCAGAGGGUAGUGGAAUUCCCGGUGUAGCAGUGAAAUGCGUAGAGAUCGGGAGGAACAUCAGUGGCGAAGGCGACUGCCUGGGCCAACACUGACACUGAGGCACGAAAGCGUGGGGAGCAAACA